rnacentral:rRNA from 1 species
CCUUGCUGGCGGGUCCGCCUCAACGCGUGCACUCGUCCGGCCGGGCCUUCCUUCUGAAGAACCUCAUGCCCUUCACUGGGCGUGCUGGGGAAUCAGGACUUUUACUUUGAAAAAAUUAGAGUGUUCAAAGCAGGCCUUUGCUCGAAUACGUUAGCAUGGAAUAAUAAAAUAGGGCGUGCGUUUCUAUUUUGUUGGUUUCUAGAGACGCCGCAAUGAUUAACAGGAACAGUCGGGGGCAUCAGUAUUCAGUUGUCAGAGGUGAAAUUCUUGGAUUUACUGAAGACUAACUACUGCGAAAGCAUUUGCCAAGGAUGUUUUCAUUAAUCAGUGAACGAAAGUUAGGGGAUCGAAGACGAUCAGAUACCGUCGUAGUCUUAACCGUAAACUAUGCCGACUA